rnacentral:rRNA from 1 species
UGGGGAAUCUUGCGCAAUGCGCGAAAGCGUGACGCAGCAACGCCGCGUGGGGGAAGAAGGCCUUCGGGUUGUAAACCUCUUUCAGUUGGGACGAAGUUUCGCCGGUGAAUAGCCGGCUGGAAUGACGGUACCUUCAGAAGAAGCCCCGGCUAACUACGUGCCAGCAGCCGCGGUAAUACGUAGGGGGCAAGCGUUGUCCGGAAUCAUUGGGCGUAAAGCGCGUGUAGGCGGCCCGAUUAGUCCGCUCUGAAAGUCCAGGGCUCAACCCUGGGAUGCGGGUGGAUACUGUCGGGCUAGAGUCCGGAAGAGGCGAGUGGAAUUCCUGGUGUAGCGGUGAAAUGCGCAGAUAUCAGGAGGAACACCAAUGGCGAAGGCAGCUCGCUGGGACGUGACUGACGCUGAGACGCGAAAGCGUGGGGAGCAAACAG